UAUAUUUUGUUGGUUUUAGGACCGCCGUAAUGAUUAAUAGGGACAGUCGGGGGCAUCAGUAUUCAAUUGUCAGAGGUGAAAUUCUUGGAUUUAUUGAAGACUAAUACUGCGAAAGCAUUUGCCAAGGAUGUUUUCAUUAAUCAGGAACGAAAGUUAGGGGAUCGAAGACGAUCAGAUACCGUCGUAGUCUUAACCAUAAACUAUGCCGACUAGGGAUCGGACGGUGUUAUUUUUUGACCCGUUCGGCACCUUACGAGAAAUCAAAGUGCUUGGGCUCCAGGGGGAGUAUGGUCGCAAGGCUGAAACUUAAAGAAAUGACGUAAGGGCACCACCAGGAGGUGGAGCCUGCGGCUUAAUUGACUCAACACGGGAAACUCACCAGUCCAGACCCCCC
rnacentral:rRNA from 1 species